rnacentral:rRNA from 1 species
UUCCGGUUGAUCCUGCCGGAGGUCACCGCUAUUGGGAUUCGACUAAGCCAUGCGAGUCGAGAGGGUUCGGCCCUCGGCAGACGGCUCAGUAACACGUGGAUAAUCUGCCCUUAGGUGGAGGAUAACCUCGGGAAACUGAGAAUAAUACUCCAUAGAUCUAGGAUGCUGGAAUGCACCUAGGUUGAAAGCUCCGGCGCCUAAGGAUGAGUCUGCGGACUAUCAGGCUGUAGUCAGGGUAAAGACCUGACUAACCUACGACGGAUACGGGUUGUGAGAGCAAUAACCCGGAGACGAUAUCUGAGACACGAUAUCGGGCCCUACGGGGCGCAGCAGGCGCGAAACCUUCACACUGUGCGAAAGCGCGAUGAGGGGAUCCCAAGUGUAUGCACGUAAGUGUAUACUGUUUCUUUGUCUAAAAAGCAUUGAGAGUAAGAGCUGGGUAAGACGGGUGCCAGCCGCCGCGGUAAUACCUGCAGCUCAAGUGGUGACCGCUAUUAUUGGGCCUAAAACGUUCGUAGCCGGUUUAGUAAAUGCCUGGGUAAAUCGAGCCGCUUAACGGUUCGAAUUCCGGGUAGACUGCUAAACUUGAGACCGGGAGAGGCUAGAGGUACUCCUGGGGUAGAGGUGAAAUUCUGUAAUCCUGGGGGGACCACCAGUGGCGAAGGCGUCUAGCUAGAACGGGUCUGACGGUGAGGGACGAAGCCCUGGGGCGCAAACCGGAUUAGAUACCCGGGUAGUCCAGGGUGUAAACGCUGCUUGCUUGAUGUUAGUUAGGCUCUGAGCCCGAUUAGUGUCGGAGAGAAGUUGUUAAGCAAGCUGCCUGGGAAGUACGGUCGCAAGGCUGAAACUUAAAGGAAUUGGCGGGGGAGCACAGCAACAGGUGGAGCGUGCGGUUUAAUUGGAUUCAACGCCGGA